GUUUAAAUUCGACUUAAUCCCUAUCAGGGAUUGAAAC
rnacentral:other from 1 species